AGCUUGCUUCUCUGAUGUUAGCGGCGGACGGGUGAGUAACACGUGGAUAACCUACCUAUAAGACUGGGAUAACUUCGGGAAACCGGAGCUAAUACCGGAUAAUAUUUUGAACCGCAUGGUUCAAAAGUGAAAGACGGUCUUGCUGUCACUUAUAGAUGGAUCCGCGCUGCAUUAGCUAGUUGGUAAGGUAACGGCUUACCAAGGCAACGAUGCAUAGCCGACCUGAGAGGGUGAUCGGCCACACUGGAACUGAGACACGGUCCAGACUCCUACGGGAGGCAGCAGUAGGGAAUCUUCCGCAAUGGGCGAAAGCCUGACGGAGCAACGCCGCGUGAGUGAUGAAGGUCUUCGGAUCGUAAAACUCUGUUAUUAGGGAAGAACAUAUGUGUAAGUAACUGUGCACAUCUUGACGGUACCUAAUCAGAAAGCCACGGCUAACUACGUGCCAGCAGCCGCGGUAAUACGUAGGUGGCAAGCGUUAUCCGGAAUUAUUGGGCGUAAAGCGCGCGUAGGCGGUUUUUUAAGUCUGAUGUGAAAGCCCACGGCUCAACCGUGGAGGGUCAUUGGAAACUGGAAAACUUGAGUGCAGAAGAGGAAAGUGGAAUUCCAUGUGCAGCGGUGAAAUGCGCAGAGAUAUGGAGGAACACCAGUGGCGAAGGCGACUUUCUGGUCUGUAACUGACGCUGAUGUGCGAAAGCGUGGGGAUCAAACAGGAUUAGAUACCCUGGUAGUCCACGCCGUAAACGAUGAGUGCUAAGUGUUAGGGGGUUUCCGCC
rnacentral:rRNA from 1 species